AGAGUUUGAUCAUGGCUCAGGACGAACGCUGGCGGCGUGCUUAACACAUGCAAGUCGAGCGAGGCCCUCCCUUCGGGGAGGUGUCCUAGCGGCGAACGGGUGAGUAACACGUGGGCAACCUGCCCUCCGCUCUGGGAUAACUCCGGGAAACCGGGGCUAAUACCGGAUAUGACCUCGGAAGACAUCUUCUGAGGUGGAAAGAAUUUCGGCGGAGGAUGGGCCCGCGGCCUAUCAGCUUGUUGGUGGGGUAACGGCCCACCAAGGCGACGACGGGUAGCCGGCCUGAGAGGGCGACCGGCCACACUGGGACUGAGACACGGCCCAGACUCCUACGGGAGGCAGCAGUGGGGAAUAUUGCGCAAUGGGCGAAAAGCCUGACGCAGCGACGCCGCGUGAGGGAUGACGGCCUUCGGGUUGUAAACCUCUUUCAGCAGGGACGAAGCGAAAGUGACGGUACCUGCAGAAGAAGCACCGGCCAACUACGUGCCAGCAGCCGCGGUAAUACGUAGGGUGCAAGCGUUGUCCGGAAUUAUUGGGCGUAAAGAGCUCGUAGGCGGUCUGUCGCGUCGGCUGUGAAAACCCGGGGCUCAACCCCGGGCCUGCAGUCGAUACGGGCAGACUAGAGUGCGGUAGGGGAGACUGGAAUUCCUGGUGUAGCGGUGAAAUGCGCGAUAUCAGGAGGAACACCGGUGGCGAAGGCGGGUCUCUGGGCCGUAACUGACGCUGAGGAGCGAAAGCGUGGGGAGCGAACAGGAUUAGAUACCCUAGUAGUCC
rnacentral:rRNA from 1 species